rnacentral:rRNA from 1 species
AUUGAACGCUGGCGGCAUGCCUAACACAUGCAAGUCGAACGGCAGCACGGUCUAGUUUACUAGAUGGGUGGCGAGUGGCGGACGGGUGAGUAAUGCGCAGGGAUAUGCCUUAAAGUGGGGGACAACUUGGGGAAACUCAAGCUAAUACCGCGUAAUCUCUGAGGAGAAAAGCUGGGGACCUUCGGGCCUGGCGCUUUAAGAUUAGCCUGCGUCCGAUUAGCUAGUUGGUAGGGUAAAGGCCUACCAAGGCGACGAUCGGUAGCUGGUCUGAGAGGAUGACCAGCCACACUGGAACUGAGACACGGUCCAGACUACUACGGGAGGCAGCAGUGGGGAAUAUUGGACAAUGGGGGCAACCCUGAUCCAGCAAUGCCGCGUGUGUGAAGAAGGCCUGAGGGUUGUAAAGCACUUUCAGUGGGGAGGAGGAUUGAUAGGUUAAGAGCUAAUUAAUUGGACGUUACCCACAGAAGAAGCACCGGCUAACUCCGUGCCAGCAGCCGCCGUAA